rnacentral:rRNA from 1 species
UGCAUGCGCAGCUACACAUGCAAGUCGAGCGGUAACAGGAAGAAGCUUGCUUCUUUGCUGACGAGCGGCGGACGGGUGAGUAAUACUUGGGAACUUGCCUUUAGGAGGGGGAUAACCGCUGGAAACGGUGGCUAAUACCGCAUAAUGUCUACGGACCAAAGCAGGGGCUCUUCGGACCUUGCACCUAAAGAUAGGCCCAAGCGAGAUUAGCUAGUUGGUGGGGUAAAGGCCCACCAAGGCGACGAUCUCUAGCUGUUCUGAGAGGAUGAUCAGCCACACUGGGACUGAGACACGGCCCAGACUCCUACGGGAGGCAGCAGUGGGGAAUAUUGCACAAUGGGGGAAACCCUGAUGCAGCCAUGCCGCGUGUGUGAAGAAGGCCUUCGGGUUGUAAAGCACUUUCAGUGGUGAGGAAGGCCGUAAGAUUAAUACUCUUGCGGAUUGACGUUAACCACAGAAGAAGCACCGGCUAACUCCGUGCCAGCAGCCGCGGUAAU